UACGUAGGGGGGCUAGCGUUGUCCGGAAUCAUUGGGCGUAAAGCGCGUGUAGGCGGCCCGGUAAGUCCGCUGUGAAAGUCGGGGGCUCAACCCUCGGAUGCCGGUGGAUACUGUCGGGCUCGAGUACGGAAGAGGCGAGUGGAAUUCCUGGUGUAGCGGUGAAAUGCGCAGAUAUCAGGAGGAACACCAAUUGCGAAGGCAGCUCGCUGGGACGUUACUGACGCUGAG
rnacentral:rRNA from 1 species